GGUGAGUAACACGUGGGCAAUCUGCCCUUCACUCUGGGACAAGCCCUGGAAACGGGGUCUAAUACCGGAUAACACUCUGUCCCGCAUGGGACGGGGUUAAAAGCUCCGGCGGUGAAGGAUGAGCCCGCGGCCUAUCAGCUUGUUGGUGGGGUAAUGGCCUACCAAGGCGACGACGGGUAGCCGGCCUGAGAGGGCGACCGGCCACACUGGGACUGAGACACGGCCCAGACUCCUACGGGAGGCAGCAGUGGGGAAUAUUGCACAAUGGGCGAAAGCCUGAUGCAGCGACGCCGCGUGAGGGAUGACGGCCUUCGGGUUGUAAACCUCUUUCAGCAGGGAAGAAGCGAGAGUGACGGUACCUGCAGAAGAAGCGCCGGCUAACUACGUGCCAGCAGCCGCGGUAAUACGUAGGGCGCAAGCGUUGUCCGGAAUUAUUGGGCGUAAAGAGCUCGUAGGCGGCUUGUCACGUCGGAUGUGAAAGCCCGGGGCUUAACCCCGGGUCUGCAUUCGAUACGGGCUAGCUAGAGUGUGGUAGGGGAGAUCGGAAUUCCUGGUGUAGCGGUGAAAUGCGCAGAUAUCAGGAGGAACACCGGUGGCGGAAGGCGGAUCUCUGGGCCAUUACUGACGCUGAGGAGCGAAGGCGUGGGGAGCGAACAGGAUUAGAUACCCUGGUAGUCCACGCCAUAAACGUUGGGGAACUAGGUGUUGGGGGCAUUCCACGUCAUCGCGCCA
rnacentral:rRNA from 1 species